UACGUAGGGGGCAAGCGUUGUCCGGAAUCAUUGGGCGUAAAGCGCGCGUAGGCGGCCCGAUCAGUCCGCUGUAAAAGUCCAGGGCUCAACCCUCGGAAAGACCGGCUGGAUACUGUCGGGCUAGAGUCCGGAAGAGGCGAGUGGAAUUCCUGGUGUAGCGGUGAAAUGACGCAGAUAUCAGGAAGAACACCCGUGGCUAAGGCGGCUCUCUAGUACGGUACUGACGCUGAGACGCGAAAGCGUGGGGAGCGAACAGG
rnacentral:rRNA from 1 species